rnacentral:lncRNA from 1 species
GUGUCUCGAUUAUUCUAUAAGGUCCUUAUCAAUUCGGAGAUAAUUUUUCUUAGUCUAGCAAUUUUGAGACUUUUGCUUUUCUUAAAACUAGGUCUCCUGGAUGGAAGAUCUUUAGCUUAACUUUUACAUUAUAAUAUCGGACUACUCUUUGUCGAUAAGCUGCCAUUCGAACUUGAGCUUAUCGUCGAACUUCUAAAAGUAGAUCUA